rnacentral:rRNA from 1 species
UCACACAGGGAAGAGUUUGAUCCUGGCUCAGAAUGAACGCUGGCGGCGUGCUUAACACAUGCAAGUCGUGCGCGAAGGAGGCUUCGGUCUCUGGAGAGCGGCGAACGGGUGAGUAACACGUGGGUAAUCUGCCUGGGAAUGGGGGAUAACCUGGGGAAACUCGGGCUAAUACCGCAUACGUUGGUUGGAUUUUGGUCUGACCUAAGAAAGCUGGCCUCUGCUUGCAAGCUAGCGUCCCUGGAGGAGCCCGCGGCUGAUUAGCUAGUUGGUGGGGUAAAGGCUCACCAAGGCGACGAUCAGUAGCCGGCCUGAGAGGGUGAUCGGCCACACUGGGACUGAGACACGGCCCAGACUCCUACGGGAGGCAGCAGUGGGGAAUAUUGGACAAUGGGCGCAAGCCUGAUCCAG